UGAUAAGCAAGCUGCUUUGCUCUGGAGAGAAGGAAGUGGAUCUGGCUGUGCAGAAUGCGAAGGCUGCCUUUAAAAUAUGGAGUCAGAUGUCUGGCAUGGAGCGGAGCAGGGUGCUGCUGGAGGCUGCCAGAAUUAUUCGGGAGCAGAGAGAAGAAAUUGCCACCUUGGAAACCAUCAACAAUGGGAAAUCCAUCUUUGAAGCCAGAGUGGACAUUGACAUAUCCUGGCAGUGCCUGGAGUAUUAUGCAGGACUGGCAGGAUCUCUAGCUGGUGAACACAUCCAACUUCCCGGGGGAUCCUUUGGGUACACUCGCAGAGAGCCCCUUGGUGUGUGUGUGGGAAUUGGAGCCUGGAAUUACCCUUUCCAGAUUGCCUGCUGGAAGUCUGCGCCGGCCUUGGCUUGCGGCAACGCGAUGGUCUUCAAGCCCUCUCCCUUCACCCCUAUUUCGGUGGUGAGGUUGGCAGAGAUCUUCACAGAGGCUGGUGUGCCCAAGGGGCUCUUCAACGUGGUGCAGGGUGGAGCGGCCACAGGCCAGUUCCUCUGUCAUCACCCAGAUGUGGCCAAAAUCUCUUUCACUGGCAGUGUGCCAACUGGCGUCAAGAUCAUGGAGAUGGCAGCUAAAGGGAUCAAACCAGUCACCCUAGAGCUAGGGGGAAAAUCCCCCCUUAUCAUCUUUUCAGAUUGUGCCUUGGAGAACGCCGUGAAUGGAGCCCUCAUGGCCAACUUCCUCACACAGGGCGAGGUGUGCUGCAACGGCACGCGGGUGUUUGUGGAGAGGAAGAUACUGGAUGCCUUCACAAAGGAGGUGGUGAAACGCACCCAGAAAAUCAAAAUUGGAGACCCACUUCUGGAAGACACACGGAUGGGAGCCCUCAUCAACCGGCCUCACCUGGAUCGUGUCCAGGGCUUUAUCAAGCAGGCAAAGGAGCAGGGGGCAGAGGUGCUGUGUGGUGGGGACCUAUACGUGCCAGAUGACCCAAAGCUGAAGAAUGGCUACUACAUGAGACCCUGUGUUUUAGGGAACUGCACAGAUAACAUGACAUGUGUGAAGGAAGAGAUCUUUGGGCCUGUCAUGUCUAUUCUGCCGUUUGACACAGAGGAGGAGGUUGUGGAGAGAGCCAACACCACCAAAUUUGGCCUGGCAGGUGGUGUCUUCACCAGGGAUAUCCAGAAGGCUCACAGGGUAGUGGCUGCUCUCCAGGCUGGGAUGUGCUUCAUUAACAACUACAAUAUCAGCCCUGUGGAGCUGCCUUUUGGAGGAUACAAGUCAUCAGGAUUUGGCAGAGAGAAUGGGCGGGCAGCCAUCGAGUACUACUCGCAGCUGAAGACUGUCUGUGUGGAGAUGGGUGAUGUGGAAUCUGUGUUUUAGUGGCUCUGGGGCCUGCUCAAGGGAGCAUCAGCCAGUCCUUGCCUGUCAGCCAGAGAUGUGGAUCAUUUACACAGCAAUAAAGUGCUCUAAAAUUCUUGCUGCAACGUGGCUCCAGUUUGGCAGAUUUGCCUAUGCAGCUUCCUUCCCCCUCUGGAAAGGAAUAUUCAAGAAUGGCCUGAUGUGUCUAUUGGUGGCAAAGAAGGAGCUACUGGAUUUAGCCUCUCCCACAUGCCUGCCUCCUCAUGAGUUGUCUGCAUCUUUCAGUUAAAAAUAACCCAGGCUGCUUUUGAUCCUUUGCGCACCUCCUUUGGUGGUGGAAGUGAGUGGGAAGAUCACCAUGUUCCCCAUCUAUUCUUAUCAGAUAAACUCUUUGUGAAAGUGUGCUUAGAAGGGGGAGAAAGGGUUCCUGUCCUCCACCCAACAAGCUGCUGAGUAGCACUGCAGGGCUUGGAAGAACCAGGCAGGGUUGGAGGGACACUUCCCCCUCAUGGACUGGAGGCUGUGAAUGCUUCUGUUUGUCCGACAAGGCACCCUUAGGGGAAGGAAAUGGGUCUGAAGCAGCAGUAAUGAGUUUAUUAAAUGCUUGUGACUCCCCUGCACAAGACCUUCUACCACUACAUUUUCAGAAGGGGCACAGCUGUGAAGCAUGAUGUGGCUAGUGAAGCAGCCUGCUGUC